rnacentral:rRNA from 1 species
UGGGGAAUUUUGGACAAUGGGCGAAAGCCUGAUCCAGCAAUGCCGCGUGUGUGAAGAAGGCCUUCGGGUUGUAAAGCACUUUUGUCCGGAAAGAAAUCCUUGGCUCUAAUACAGUCGGGGGAUGACGGUACCGGAAGAAUAAGCACCGGCUAACUACGUGCCAGCAGCCGCGGUAAUACGUAGGGUGCAAGCGUUAAUCGGAAUUACUGGGCGUAAAGCGUGCGCAGGCGGUUUCGCUAAGACCGAUGUGAAAUCCCCGGGCUCAACCUGGGAACUGCAUUGGUGACUGGCAGGCUAGAGUAUGGCAGAGGGGGGUAGAAUUCCACGUGUAGCAGUGAAAUGCGUAGAGAUGUGGAGGAAUACCGAUGGCGAAGGCAGCCCCCUGGGCCAAUACUGACGCUCAUGCACGAAAGCGUGGGGAGCAAACAGGAUUAGAUACCCUGGUAGUCCACGCCCUAAACGAUGUCAACUAGUUGUUGGGGAUUCAUUUCCUUAGUAACGUAGCUAACGCGUGAAGUUGACCGCCUGGGGAGUACGGUCGCAAGAUUAAAACUCAAAUGAAUUG